UAACCAAUAGUGUAGGGCGCACUUGGAGUUUUGAUCUCCAUAGAAUGAGUUCAAUUCUCAUUUGAUUAA
rnacentral:tRNA from 1 species